UGGGGAAUUGUUCGCAAUGGGCGCAAGCCUGACGACGCAACGCCGCGUGGAGGAUGAAGGUCUUCGGAUUGUAAACUCCUGUUGCUCGGGACGAAAAGCUUCGACCUAAUACGUCGAAGUCUGACGGUACCGAGUGAGGAAGCCCCGGCUAACUCUGUGCCAGCAGCCGCGGUAAUACAGAGGGGGCAAGCGUUGUUCGGAAUUACUGGGCGUAAAGGGCGCGUAGGCGGCCUGCUAAGUCGAACGUGAAAUCCCUGGGCUCAACCCAGGAACUGCGUCCGAUACGGGUUGGCUUGAAUCCGGGAGAGGGAUGUGGAAUUCCAGGUGUAGCGGUGAAAUGCGUAGAUAUCUGGAGGAACACCGGUGGCGAAGGCGACAUCCUGGACCGGCAUUGACGCUGAGGCGCGAAAGCCAGGGGAGCAAACGGG
rnacentral:rRNA from 1 species